rnacentral:lncRNA from 1 species
AGUUUCACCCUUUCUGCUUGCUGUACAGACUGCUGCUGUGUCAGCUGGCCAAAUCGCUCUGCAACCUCUCUUAUUAGAUGAAUGAUUCAUUGGCCAGUAAAAGGAGCCUCCCAGCUAGUCUUUGAGCAGGAUUGAAGGUUUCCUUCAAGAAAUACAAGCCAGAAAACUGCUCCAGAAGAUACAGGAUAGAAGAAGAUUAGCAGCCUGAGAGUUCAAAUCUCCCCAAAAGAAAGCAAAGCUAGCUGAAAUCAAGUGAAAGAAAUAUGUCAGGUUUCUCUUACCUCACCAAAGGGACAGGAAAGGAAAACCCUCUUCCUCUCAAGAUGCAGAU